GAAGAGAAAUAUUCGUUGUUUGGAUUUUUUCCUCUAGUCAGCAGCCGACUCCCUUAGUCACUUAACACUUUUCUAAAUCCCUAGCCACCAUCACUUCCUUACCCUCGUAAUUCCUUUUCCCAUAGCCACUCCAACACCCACUGGCCACCAGUCGGUACUCGGUAGUCACCACCCUUUUCACUUUCUCUUUUUUCCUCUUCCCACUAUCGCCACCAACCCACCACCAUCAGAAACCAGAAAUCAACCCACAGCCGACUCCCUCUUUCCCUCUUCUCUUUUUCAUCUUCCCACUGUUGUGUUUCAAGCAAACUCACCACUCUCUCCAAAAUCCGACCUCCAGCGUUCUCCUCAUAACUUCACUAGGGGAUUUCUUGUCGAGUGAGUUUCAAACCCUAAUUCUUUCCAAUUUUGCAUGUUUAUGUUAUGUUUGUAUACUGCUGUAUUCUUUCUUGGCAGUGUUGCAAUAGCUGGAAUUUUACAUGUUAUAGCAUUGAAGAUAUUUGAUAAGAGUGCAAGAUGCUCACAAGGGAAAUUCCAUAAAAAUUACAGAGGAUAGCCUGUUGGGGUUGAAGUAUGAUCCUACAUCGAUUUGGGGUUAUUUUGAGCUUCACAUUGAACAAGGACCUGUACUAGAAUUGGUUGGUUUUCCUCUUGCUGUAGUUAAAGGCAUAGCUGGACAGACAUGAAUGAAGAUGAUGAAGCAAAGGCACAAAGUGGAGAGAGAAGCAAACAUUAUGCGGAAAUUGGAUGGUCAAAGAAUCAGGAACUUGCCAAGACUAAUCCAAAGCUUGUAGCCAUGAACAAGAAAUUUGGAAUGAUUCAUGGGUUAUCUUCAAUUGCAAGAAUUUUCAAACUCAUUUGUUUACUUCUGUACAUUGGGUUGGAUGCUGGUUGCAUACAUUUCCGGCUAAAUGUUAUGUAUUUUAAUUGCUGGAUUGAUUUUUGUUGUGAAUAUUCAACAUUUAUUUUACUUUUACUUUUAUAUUUUUUAAAUGUAUUUAAAGCACAAUUUCUAUCAUUGUUCACUAUAAAUAUUUAUGAAAAUAAAUUAA